GUGGGGAAUAUUGGACAAUGGGGGGAACCCUGAUCCAGCCAUGCCGCGUGUGUGAAGAAGGCCUUUUGGUUGUAAAGCACUUUAAGCGAGGAGGAGGCUACCGAGAUUAAUACUCUUGGAUAGUGGACGUUACUCGCAGAAUAAGCACCGGCUAACUCUGUGCCAGCAGCCGCGGUAAUACAGAGGGUGCAAGCGUUAAUCGGAUUUACUGGGCGUAAAGCGCGCGUAGGUGGCCAAUUAAGUCAAAUGUGAAAUCCCCGAGCUUAACUUGGGAAUUGCAUUCGAUACUUGGUGGGUAGAGUAUGGGAGAGGAUGGUAGAAUUCCAGGUGUAGCGGUGAAAAGCGUAGAAAUCUGGAGGAAUACCGAUGGCGAAGGCAACCAUCUGGCCUAAUACUGACACUGAGGUGCGAAAGCAAGGGGAGCAAACAGGAUUAGAUACCCCUGUAGUCC
rnacentral:rRNA from 1 species